GUAGUCCACGCCGUAAACGAUGAUAACUCGAUGUUAGGCUUUUCAAUCGGCCUAGUGUCUAAGCUAACGCGAUAAGUUAUCCGCCUGGGGAGUACGGUCGCAAGAUUAAAACUCAAAGGAAUAGACGGGGACCCACACAAGCAGUGGAGCAUCUGGUUUAAUUCGAUAAUAAGCGAGGAACCUCACCUAGGUUUGACAUCCCGAUGAACGCUCUAGAAAUAGAGAACUGCCUUUUGGAACAUCGGUGACAGGUGCUGCAUGGUUGUCGUCAGCUCGUGCCUUGAGGUGUUCGGUUAAGUCCGUGAACGAGCGCAACCCACGUCGUAUGUUGUAUUUUUUCAUUACGAGACUGCCGGUUACAAAUCGGAGGAAGGUGUGGAUGACGUCAAAUCAGCAUGGCCCUUAUACCUAGGGGCUACACAGGUGCUACAAUGGGCCAGUACAACGGGGCAGCUAAGCGGUAACGUGGAGCCAAUCCCAAAAACUGGGU
rnacentral:rRNA from 1 species